rnacentral:rRNA from 1 species
CGUAGGGUGCGAGCGUUAAUCGGAAUUACUGGGCGUAAAGUGUGCGCAGGUGGCUGAGCAAGUCGAGUGUGAAAUCCCCGGGCUUAACUUGGGAAUUGCGCUCGAAACUACUUGGCUCGAGUGUGGCAGAGGAAGGUGGAAUUCCAGGUGUAGCGGUGAAAUGCGUAGAGAUCUGGAGGAACACCGAUGGCGAAGGCAGCCUUCUGGGCCAACACUGACGCUCAUGCACGAAAGCGUGGGGAGCAAACAGGAUUAGAUACCCUGGUAGUCCACGCCCUAAACGAUGAUGACUAGUUGUUGGGGGAGUUAAAUCCCUUAGUAACGCAGCUAACGCGUGAAGUCAUCCGCCUGGGGAGUACGGUCGCAAGAUUA